AAAUUCGAGUUAUGGUGCCAAAUUACGUGCUAACCCAAAUCCCACAAAGGGUGUUGGUUAAUUAAUAAAGUUGGACGGUGGUCAUGGAAGUCGAAAUCUUCUAAGGAGUGUGUAACAACUCACCUGUCGAAUCAACUAUCCCAAAAUAUGGAUGGCACUGAAGCGUGCAACCUAUACUCAAUCGUCGGAGAAAUUGCAAGGCUUCGAUG
rnacentral:ncRNA from 1 species